rnacentral:rRNA from 1 species
AACGAACGCUGGCGGCAGGCUUAACACAUGCAAGUCGCGCGAUUAAAGCCCCUUCGGGGGUAUAUAAAGCGGCGAACGGGUGAGUAACAGGUGGAUAAUCUACCUCCCGGCGGGGGACAACGGCUGGAAACGGCCGCUAAUACCGCGUACGGUUUCGGGGGCUUUGGCUUCUGAAAAGAAAGGCGCCUUCAAGCGUCACCGGGAGAUGAGUCCGCCCCCCAUUAGCUAGUUGGCGGGAUAACAGCCCACCAAGGCUCCGAUGGGUAGCCGAGCUGAGAGGUUGAUCGGCCACACUGGAACUGAGACACGGUCCAGACACCUACGGGAGGCAG